AUUGAUACCUGGCAGGGGAGAUACCAUGAUCACAAAGGUGGUUUUCUCAGGGUGAGGCCCAUCCAUUGCAUUCUGGGUGUGCUGGCCCUUGCGAUUUCCCCAAAUACAGGAAACUUGACUGCAUAAGUAGUGAGAGACUGAGUUUAUGCUUUCCCCUGA
rnacentral:snRNA from 1 species